ensembl:lncRNA
UCAUAACCGUCACAAUGAGACCCCGUUGACUAAGGUCAGGAUCAGGUUGCGCUGCCCCAGGACCUGCACCAGGGAUGUGCGUGCUCGGAGGAGGCACCCCCAGCCCACCAGCGUUAAACCAGAAGUCAGCGGCGGCGCCCCAAGGUGAGGCUCCCCCUUCACAGCCAGGAGAUGCUCCGCCAGCUGCUUUCCUGACAGGACACACCCGCUGCUGGGUCCUGCCCCUGUGAGGUGCUCAUUUACAGCAUGGAGUUCCAUAGCACUCAUGUUUCUAUGGAAACAGAUCAGGACUUCGUGCCACUGGAGACACCCUUGUGGAGGUGUUGAUAUAAAGCCAGAAGAUGUGAGGUGACCCAUCUGUGUUAUGGGAUUAAAACAAGACCUGACAAAGACAGCAGGCAAAGGCCCUUUACCCAGAGGCUGCGGGGCUGUGGCAACACCACAGCAGAGACGGGUGGGAACAUGUUCCCAGUGUGGCAGAGCAGGGCUCCCGGGGUCUGUGGGGCCCCACUGGAGGUGGAGGAAGGUACCAUCAAGAUGAAGCCAAAUGACAUGCGGAUAUAACAAGGAAGGAGCAGCUGGUGGGACAGUCUUUGCAUAUCAUGGACAGCGCCCACUGACCGCCCCCCAUCCCCCAACACAACCACAUUUCCUAACGUCCUGACUUUUACUAUUGAUAUUUUUAUUCACAGGUGACUUUUGUCGAUAUUUUUGGCACAUAUUAGCUAUCCUUUCUUUGUUCCUUGAUUCAUGUGUUUUCAUUUUUGGUUAUGAGUUUAUGGUUUGUGGCUCAUAGCUGUGACAGCUUGGUAAGCCUUUUGAGGUCAAACACUAAGUCAUGUGCCCCCCAGUUGCCUUUACGGCUCCCCUAGCAGUGAUGUCUUCUCUCACAGGAAGUGUUCUGCAAACAUCCUCUGCUUGAUUAGCACCGAAGACAACAACUCUCUCAGGAUCCAUAUAAAACUCUCUUGAUCAGUCAGUAAUUUCCACUGUCUUAUGCAAGCACUAACUUAGCAAUAUUGAUGCAAAAUACCUUCUCCUUCUAAACAAGAGAACACUAAAAUGAAAAUGUUUCUGCAAAGGAGUUGUGCUUCAAAGACCUGAUGGAGAUGCUUUUAGGAACGCCUGUAACAGAUAAGUAAAUGAUUUGAUCAUUGACUUUGGCGACUAGAAGAGAACUGAUAAUGGAAUGUUUGCUUUUCUUGUGAUUUUAACACUCAGUUUCAACUCUUAUGGCAUGAAUUUAAAAUUAAAUAUGUGAGUGAUCC